GUAUCACAACCAGUGACAGCAUGAAAGAAGGGUAGGGCUUCACAUUGCUCCCUACUCAACGAGCUUUGUGUAAUGUUAUGAAUUGGAAUUCCUUACCUCUGCCAUCAUCAAGAGAAGAAAGUGGAAUGUUAAUAGGUAGCGAAUCAAGUUUCUCGAAUUCUUUCAAGUUUUCUGCAAUUGUCUUGUAACUUGAGCCAGCAAGUAAAGUAUUUGAAGCUUU